GACGAACGCUGGCGGCGUGCCUAACACAUGCAAGUUGAGCGACGAACCAGGGCUUGCCCUGGGGCAAAGCAGCGAACGGGUGAGUAACACGUGGGUAACCUGCCCCGAUGACCGGGACAACCCGAGGAAACUCGGGCUAAUACCGGAUGUGCCCCUCGAGCACAAGCUCGCUGGGCAAAGGAAGCUUCGGCCUCCGCUUCGGGAGGGGCCCGCGGCCCAUUAGCUAGUUAGUGAGGUAACGGCUCACCGAGGCAACGAUGGGUAGCUGGUCUGAGAGGACGAUCAGCCACACUGGGACUGAGACACGGCCCAGACUCCUACGGGAGGCAGCAGUGGGGAAUCUUGCGCAAUGCGCGAAAGCGUGACGCAGCAACGCCGCGUGGGGGAANAAGGGCCCUCGGGUUGUAAACCCCUUUCGAGGGGGACGAAGGUAAGGCCGGUGAACAGCCGGUCGGACUGACGGUACCCCAGAAGAAGCUCCGGCUAACUACGUGCCAGCAGCCGACGGUAA
rnacentral:rRNA from 1 species